rnacentral:rRNA from 1 species
AGGACGAACGCUGGCGGCGUGCUUAACACAUGCAAGUCGAACGGUGAAGCCCUUCGGGGUGGAUCAGUGGCGAACGGGUGAGUAACACGUGGGCAAUCUGCCCUGCAUUCUGGGACAAGCCUUGGAAACGAGGUCUAAUACCGGAUACGACGCAUCUCCGCAUGGGGUGUGCGUGGAAAGCUCCGGCGAUGCAGGAUGAGCCCGCGGCCUAUCAGCUUGUUGGUGGGGUAACAGCCUACCAAGGCGACGACGGGUA